UCUCCCUCUCUCAUUCCUCUAGAACGACCAUAAAAAACGUGCUCUCUUGCUGUUCCUCUCGUCCCUCUUAAACAAGAAUCGGAAGCUCUCUCUCAUUUCUCCGAAACAAGAAUCAGAAGUGCUCUCUCUCAUUCCUUUGGAACAAGAAUCAAAAGCUCUGUCCUCUGGAACAAAAAGCAGAAGCUCUAACGAUCUGAAUCCCGGAGUUUCUUUCCCUCGAAAAGAUUUGAUUUCCAGUAUACGGAUAAUGUUGGGUUCUCUCCUUCCAUAUCCUACC
rnacentral:lncRNA from 1 species